rnacentral:rRNA from 1 species
GCUUACGGCCAUACCACCCUGAACACGCCCGAUCUCGUCCGAUCUCGGAAGCUAAGCAGGGUCGGGCCUGGUUUAGUACUUGGAUGGAGACGCCUGGGAAUACCAGGUGCUGUAAGCU